rnacentral:lncRNA from 1 species
UGUGAGUCUCCCUUCUCCUUUUUUCUUUAGCCGACUUCCACCCUCUCUCUUCACGCACAUUAUUUCUUCCCUCUCUCUUCUCUUUUCACCACCGCCCAUCUCCAUUUCUUUCAUCCCCUUUCCCUGCUGCCGCACUCACCCACCAGCCCUUCUCCAUUUCCCUUCGUUCUUGCUGCCACCACCACAUCCCACCACCUCACGCCUCACCAGCUCACCACCACCCUUACACGUCCACGCCAGCCAGCCAUCACCCAACGUCCACACCACCAGCAACUUUAACAAACCCCCAGCUCCUCAUGCCAGCGCCCUCAGCAACCCGUCCAGCACCCGGGACUCCCGUAAACUGUCCCGCCGUCCAGCCGUGCGCAGCACCGCCAUCCACGGCCGCCAACUUUGCCUAGCCCCACCAUCGACCAGCCCAAGCAGCACUAACCAGCAAGGACCAGCCCUCUUGGCCAUGAGCUGGUAGGGCCAUCUCGAUUGCUGGUUGAACUCUGUUCGAGUUACGGUAGACUCGGUUUCUCGUCACCGUCGCAUUGCCAUCGCCGUGAGCCUGCCGCCGUCGAAUUCCGGUAAGUUAACUCCCUAAUCCUUGAUUAAGUUGUUAAUUGCGCUUAAAGGGUUAGAUUAGUGUUAAUUAGCUUAGUUAGAUUAGUGUUAAUUAGCAUGAUUAGAUUAGUAUUAAGUGGAUUAGCUUAAAUUCAGAUUCGGUUUACUGGACACUCGCCGUUUACUAUUUUUGUGGGAAAAAAUGUGCUACAAUUUUGAGAUUACUUCAUUCUUAAAAAAUGUUUCAGACAUCUUCAGCUAUGUCAUAUAUUUUAUUCAAUAUUUUAGGGAUUUAAAAGAUUAAGAUUUUAGUUGUAAAACAGAAUCUCGGUUUAUGCUGGAACCAAUGACCUUUUGGUGUUUAAAGGAUUUUUAUCAACUCUUGGGGUUCGAUUUUUGAAAGAGUUUCUUCACAAAGUUGUUCAUCACAUUUCAUAGUUUAACAUAUUCAAAUUUCAGAUCAAAUAGACAAGUUUUGGACCUCGAACUAGACUGACUUUGGAAAACAUAAUUUCUGGACACGGACAUAGUUUGGGUAACGGUUUGGGCGAUUUACUGCUCUUAUUCUAGAAAUAUUUGGGUCAAGGUGUCUUCAUAAAAAAAUGUUCGUUUAAAUUCUUUUAUAACAUAUUCAAAUUUGAGAAUUUUCUGAACUCAUUUAGAUAUGUUUUUGGAAUUAAACUUGGGGAUGCGCGAGUGGACCAAUUUCUGCCGAUUAGGGCCAAUUGUGGUUUUGUGGUUGUUCUUAGUGUAAUGCUUGCUCUAUAAUGUAUAUUUGGCGAUGUAGUUGACUUGUGACAUGCUUAGAAUUUAUGCGUGAUGAUAUGUGAAUGGUUGUGCUAUGGUGAUGGUUUAUUGUUAUUGCAAAAGAUGAUCCUAUGAGCUUUUAAUUAGAAAAACAAUGAAGUGUCGGGUUUGGACACCAAAACUUAUUGGCUCAACAAAACAAUGAGGUUUUAAAUUAGGUGCGUGCAAAGUUUGGCUAAUUAAUUUUGAGUACGUGAGCACCUACAAAUUUAUUUCUAAAAGUUUUAAACAAAAAAAGAAAAGAAGUUACUAAAGAUUGUUUCCAAAAAGGGGUGGUUGGAAAAGAAAAUAGAAAAUAAAUGAGGUGUCGGGUUUGGAGGCUAAAUUUUAUGUGCUCAAUAAAAUGAUGAGGUUUUAUACUAGAUGCAUGCAAAGUUUGGCGAGUUAAUUUCAAACACGUGACCCUGUAUGAAUUUAUUUCCGAAAGCUUUGAAAAAAAAAGUUGCCAAGUUGAUCUUUAAAAAUGGGUUUUUGGUGUUCUUGACUAUAUGAUGGCAUUAUGCGUGGAUUUGAUGACUUUUAUAUGAUUUGACGUGCAAUUGAGUACUUGAUGACAAUUAUUGAAGUUUAGUAGAAAACUCAGUUUUAUGGGUAUUUAAUUAGAAAAAUAUCGGGUGUCGGUUUUUUAUGCCAAAAAUGUUUAUGUACUCUAUAAAAAUCAUGGAAUUUUGAAAUGGGAGCGUACUAUAUUUAAUGGUUCGAUUUACAUGCAUGACCACGCAUGAUUAUUUUAAUGGGAUGAUUUUUAAUACAAAAAAAAGUGGCCAAGUCUAUUGUUUGAACACGAGGUAUUUAAGUGCAAAGCACAGUGUUCUUGGCUAAGUAUAUGUGCGUGUGGUCACUAAGUGGAAACCGUCCUGAUGCGUUCAUGCGGGACAAAGCUCCUCAGUGGGGUACCAUCUAGGCGGAGGAUGUUAGACGUUGCCGGUCGCAAAUGAAUUUCGAAACGGAGCUCCUCAGUGGGGUGCCAUCUAGGUGGAGGAUGCUAGACAUUGCCAUUCGCAGAUGGAUUUUGGAACGAAGCUCCUCAGUAGGGUGCCGUGGCCGUUGGGCCGUAAUAACUGGAACAUGCCUGAGUGGUUGUGAUAAUUGCGCCUGAUUAUAAGGCAAAAUUGUGUUGCACGGAAUGUGAUGUAUCAUAACGGUUUUACCUUAUAGUCGGGACCCAUGUGAUUGUUUGAAGGAUAAGAUUGAUGUGUUCCAGUUAUUAAAUAUGUUUGUGAUAUGUAUAUUGGUUUAUGUGAUGCACCAAUGUGCAGAGACGUGCCCAGGCAAGGUAAGUUCUAUAUGGUGCAUGUUUAGGACCACCUUCGAGGUGAAUUUGCGUCCUAAUCGGGGUUUAGAAUUUUGACUCGCUGAGAUUUUUAUCUUACCUUGUUGUGGGCUAACUUUUUUCAGGGCCGUAGCGUGGAGAUCUACUGAGUGCGAAUGUGGUGGGUGCGAGAUGCGACACCUUGUCGCUGGUCCUGCCGUUAGCGAAGUUUAAGACAACCUUGAUCCCUGAGAUCUUUUGAGAGGGUCAAGAGGAAGUGGUCGCUAGAGAUGAGCGGUUCCCGGUUCCUUACAAGUUCCGCUUGGAAUAUGGAACCUACCCUCUAGUACAAGUUCCUCAUUUUUUGGAAUCUAAAACCUACCCGUCAGAACCAAGAACCUAGAACCUACCCUGUCAUAGGUUUCGGGGUAGGUUCCAGGUUCCAACAGGUUUUUUUUUUCUUUUUUAUUUAAAAAAAUGCUUAUAUUGGAAUUUACCAAAUGAUUAAUUAGCCGAGCUAUAUUCCCUUUAUUUGUGGCAUCAAUUACAAGUUCUUCACUGAUCUUGAAGAGCUACACAAUGUCUUAUCAUGUUUAGAAGACAAACCGACAGAAAAUGCAGAUCAUGAUUUCAAUGCUAAUCAAUGAACCUGAUGAACCAAAGAGACAAAGCUUUGGGAGGAAAAUCAUGAAGAAACACACUUCUUAAACCC